rnacentral:rRNA from 1 species
GACGAACGCUGGCGGCGUGCUUAACACAUGCAAGUCGAACGGAAAGGCCCUGCUUUUGUGGGGUGCUCGAGUGGCGAACGGGUGAGUAACACGUGAGUAACCUGCCCUUGACUUUGGGAUAACUUCAGGAAACUGGGGCUAAUACCGGAUAGGAGCUCCUGCUGCAUGGUGGGGGUUGGAAAGUUUCGGCGGUUGGGGAUGGACUCGCGGCUUAUCAGCUUGUUGGUGGGGUAGUGGCUUACCAAGGCUUUGACGGGUAGCCGGCCUGAGAGGGUUACCGGGCACACUGGGACUGCAAUACCGGCCAGAACACUACCGGCGGGAGGAGGGGGGAAGAUUGCAGCAUGGGCCGGAACCUUAUGCAGCAAACCCCCGUUGCGGGAAACGGCCGUCGGGUUUGAAACCGCUUUCGGCUGUGACGGAGCGUUAGGUGCCGGUAAUGGUUAAGAAGCACCGGCUAACUACGUG